rnacentral:rRNA from 1 species
UACGGAGGGGGUUAGCGUUGUUCGGAAUUACUGGGCGUAAAGCGUACGUAGGCGGUUUGACAAGUUGGGUGUGAAAUCCCCGGGCUAACCUGGGAACUGCAAUUCAAAACUUUUAAACUGGAGUACGGGAGAGGAGAGUAGAAUUCAUGGUGUAGCGGUGAAAUGCGUAGAUAUCAUGAGGAAUACCAAUGGCGAAGGCAACUCUCUGGAUCGACACUGACGCUGAGGUGCGAAAGCGUGGGUAGCAAACAGGAUUAGAUACCCUGGUAGUCCACGCCGUAAACGAUGACAACUAGCCGUUGGACUUUCGAGUUCAGUGGCACAGCUAACGCAUUAAGUUGUCCGCCUGGGGAGUACGGCCGCAAGGCUAAAACUCAAAUGAAUUGACGGGGGCCCGCACAAGCGGUGGAGCAUGUGGUUUAAUUCGAUGCAACGCGAAAAACCUUACCAACCCUUGACAUCUAGUGAAAUUUCUAGAGAUAGAUUUGUGCCUUCGGGAACACUAAGACAGGUGUUGCAUGGCU